GCAGCUUCUUCAAAUCUAAAGCCUUCUCAUCCAAAAAGGCUCUAAUUUUUGACUCUGUAACUUCAUCAUCAUCCUCAGUUGCUACUGGUCCACAUGGAAAUGUGAAGCCAUUCUCUGUUUUACCAGAUUCUACAGGGCUGACAGCAAUGUCAUGGAUUGACUGAUUAGAAGAGAAGUUAAUUCCACCACUCUUUGAUUCUGGACUCUCGUCAAACUUGCAUGACCAGGCAUCAAUGGGUUCAGACAUAGGAUUGAAGCUCUUAUUUAAAUCAGCAGAUGCAAAUGUAGACUUGAACCUAGCUGAUGCACUAACCACAAAAUCAUCUUUAUCAUCUAUCUGACACAUAUCAUCAUCAAAAUUGGCUUCAGCCCAGUAGGAUCCUGAUACUGGUAGGUUCUGAGGAUAUACAGUUGAGGACCUCAUGCUACCCAUUUCACAAACAUCCUUCAAGCCUGCACAGGUUGACCCUCUAAACACAUUCAUGGAGUUCUUAAGAUUCAUCCCAGUUGUUGCCAUCGGAUUCCCAGAUCCCAUAACUGAAUUGCGGAGCAGUAAAUGAGGUUCCUGAUACUCCCCAGUGACAAAUGGAUGCUGCAACAGGUCAGAUGCAGUAGGCCUUAAGUUUGGCUCCCUGCCACCACACCAUGUUUCAUAUGAGAUGAUGAUAAAGAAAAAUUUACAAAAAGAAAAUGUGAAGAUUUCACCUUGAAAUUCACCUAUGAUUUAUGUAUAAUAUUGUUUCUACCUAAAAAAUUUGUACAACUUUCAACUAAAAAUGAACAAAUUAAUGGCCCCUUCAGAAAGAAAUGAAAUUGCAAUACAUAGGAGUACAAUGACAACAAUAAAGAAAUAGAAAUCACAGCUAUACUUCUGCAAACAUUUCAACAGAAAGUCCUUUGCCUCAACAGAAAGGUGCUCAGGAAUGGGAGGAUGAGAUUUAGUUGUCCCAAUAUGGAAGAGGGCAGCAACCUCUUGAUACUGCUGGCUCCAUGGAGGUUUCCCUGUAGCCAUCUCAAUCACAGUACAUCCAACGCUCCAUAUAUCAGCAGAGAAGCUAUGCCCAGUCUGAAGAAUAACUUCAGGAGCCAUCCAGUAGGGAGUACCCUUCAUUGACUUGGCACCAUUUAUAGUAGCCAGUUCGACUACUUUCUUGGAUGCUCCAAAGUCGGCAAGUUUAAUGCAUCCCUUAUUAUCAACCAGAAUGUUUGCCCCCUUGAUGUCUCUGUGCAUGAUUCCAUUCUUAUGUAGGUAUUCUAGCCCCAAUAACAGUUGUUUUGUAUACUUUCGUAUUACGGACUCAGGGAAGGAUCCAAGUUUCCCCAGAAGUGAUGAUAUGGAACCACCCGGAACAAAUUCCAACAGAAUGUUUAAUGAGUCAUCCUCUCUAGCAGUUCCCAAAUAUCUAACAAUAUUCGGAUGCGUAAGAUUCUUGAGAAGCUUCACUUCUUCCUCAAGCUCCCUUAUGUGAGCCUGCGUUUUUUCUUUCGAAGCACUAUUUGCCGCAAUCAAAACCUGUUUAACAGCGAGAAGCUCUCCAGAAUCGAGAUUCAUGCCCAUAUAAACCCUGCCGAACGCACCGCAUCCAAUCAACUCCCCCUUUCGCCACCGGAUCGGUGGUGUGUCAUCUUUCUUACAAGGAGGAAGCGCCGGCAGAGGUGGCUGCUUGGAGAAGAGACCGAUUCGUGAUUUCCUAAUGCUGGAGCCGAUCUUCUCCACUAAACCACUGAAUCCUCCAUCUUCUCCAGAGGUGGAUUUAAACACUAGGGAUCGACGAACCGAUCCAAAGAGGUCUUGCAUUUGAAGGAUAGUUUCUAGGGUUUAGAGGGGCUAAGCGUGGUUAGAAAGAGAAGGAAGAGAAAAGAGACGUUGGACAGGAGGAGGAGAGUGGGAGUGAAAAUUAGAAGGGAGGGAAAAGGGGGAAGGUGACUAGCGAG
rnacentral:misc_RNA from 1 species